GUGGAAGCAAUUGGAUUCUACACAUGAUUUCUUUCUCCACUUUGAAAGGUCAAUGAUGGGCAGAAGAAAUUGCAGAAAGAUUGCAGAAACAUUUCUGCCCCACCUCCCUGAGUUGCAGAGGUCCUCCAGGUAGCAGAACCAGGGUGAUUCCAUGCACAGAAAGGAC